GACAGAGGGUGCAAGCGUUGUUCGGAAUCAUUGGGCGUAAAGCGCGCGUAGGCGGCCAUUUAAGUUGAAUGUGAAAGCCCCGAGCUCAACUUGGGAAGUGCAUUCAAAACUGGGUGGCUUGAGUCCCGGAGAGGGUGGUGGAAUUCCCAGUGUAGAGGUGAAAUUCGUAGAUAUUGGGAGGAACAUCAGUGGCGAAGGCGACCACCUGGACGGAGACUGACGCUGAGGCGCGAAAGCGUGGGGAGCAAACAGG
rnacentral:misc_RNA from 1 species